AAACAAACAAAAAAAAGCCCUGCAUAUACUGAAAUUUCUCUUCUGUUCCCUGAGGGUUGUCCUCUUCGUUUGUGUUUGGCUCUGGGUCUUCAGCACCUGCUGCUGGCCCAGCAUUUGGUGCCUGUCAGCCAGAAGAGGUGGAAGACAAGAAGAUGCACCUAAGGAAAGGUGCAGAGAAGGGUCAUACUUAUCUGUGCUGUACCCUGCUUUGUCUCUUAACAUCUCUGCUCCUUUAGCAGCUGACGGACUGCAAUAAACUGAGCGUUUGCAGCUGCAUUCCUUGAGAAAGACAGAAGACAGAUUCUUUCAACCAUGGCAAACCAGGCGUUUUCCCCAGAGGCUGCUUUCCCUCAUGGGAGGCGGAGGGAGAAAUGGGACCCCAGGCUUCUUUCAAGGGCAAGGACUUGCUUGGGAAAAAACGAGAAUGCCUCCAGGCCUACAGCUGGUGGAGAACACCACAGAAAAAA